ACAGGGUUAGCUCAGUCGGUAGAGCAUCCACUUUGAGUCAGAUGGUCAGGGGUUCAAGUCCCUAAUCCCUGUA
rnacentral:tRNA from 1 species